UAAGCAGAGUAUGAAAUGUCACGGCUCAACCGUGAAACCGUAUUCUGAACUGAUUAACUAGAGGGCGAGAGAGGUUUCUAGAAUUUCUUGUGUAGGAGUGAAAUCCGUAGAUAUAAGAAGGAAUACCGAUGGCGUAGGCAGGAAACUGGCUCGCACCUGACACUAAGGCACGAAAGCGUGGGUAGCAAACGGGAUUAGAUACCCCGGUAGUCCACGCUGUAAACGAUGGAUGCUA
rnacentral:rRNA from 1 species